AAUGGGCGCAAGCCUGAUCCAGCGAUGCCGCGUGGAUGAUGAAGGCCCUAGGGUUGUAAAGUCCUUUCGAUGGUGAAGAUAAUGACGGUAACCAUUAAAGAAGCCCCGGCUAAUUUCGUGCCAGCAGCCGCGGUAAUACGAAAGGGGCAAGCGUUGUUCGGAAUUACUGGGCGUAAAGCGCGCGUAGGCGGCAUGCCAAGUUAGGGGUGAAAUCCCGGAGCUCAACUCCGGAACUGCCUCUAAAACUGGCAAGCUAGAGGAUGUGAGAGGAUAGUGGAAUUCCGAGUGUAGAGGUGAAAUUCGUAGAUAUUCGGAAGAACACCAGUGGCGAAGGCGACUGUCUGGCACAUUUCUGACGCUGAGGUGCGAAAGCGUGGGGAGCGAACAGGAUU
rnacentral:rRNA from 1 species